UACGGGGGGGGCGAGCGUUGUUCGGAAUUACUGGGCGUAAAGGGCGCGUAGGCGGCCUCCGCAAGUCAGUUGUGAAAUCUCCGAGCUUAACUCGGAAAGGUCAACUGAUACUGCGGGGCUAGAGUGCGGAAGGGGCAACUGGAAUUCUUGGUGUAGCGGUGAAAUGCGUAGAUAUCAAGAGGAACACCUGCGGCGAAGGCGGGUUGCUGGGCCGACACUGACGCUGAGGCGCGAAAGCUAGGGGAGCGAACGGG
rnacentral:rRNA from 1 species